GGGAUUGUAGCUAAGUGGCAGAGUGCUUGCCUCACACGUAUGAGGCACUGGGUUCAAUCCUCAGCCCCA
rnacentral:tRNA from 1 species